UACGUAGGGGGCAAGCGUUGUCCGGAAUCACUGGGCGUAAAGCGCGCGUAGGCGGAUUGUUAAGUCGGGGGUGAAAUCCCGAGGCUCAACCUCGGAACUGCCUUCGAUACUGGCUAUCUUGAGUCCGGGAGAGGUGAGUGGAACUCCUAGUGUAGAGGUGAAAUUCGUAGAUAUUAGGAAGAACACCAAUGGCGAAAGCAGCUCUCUGGGACGGUACUGACGCUGAGACGCGAAAGCGUGGGGAGCGAACAGG
rnacentral:rRNA from 1 species